rnacentral:rRNA from 1 species
CACGGGGGGAGCAAGCGUUGUUCGGAAUCACUGGGCGUAAAGGGCGUGUAGGCGGUCAGGUUAGUGAGAUGUGAAACGCCCCGGCUCACCCGGGGACCUGCAUCUCAAACUGCCUGGCUUGAGUAUGGGAGAGGAUGAGGGAAUUCCUGGUGUAGCGGUGAAAUGCGUAGAUAUCAGGAGGAACACCGGUGGCGAAGGCGGUUCUCUGGGCAUUACCUGACACUGAGGAGCGAAAGUGUGGGGAGCGAACAGG